rnacentral:rRNA from 1 species
GACGAACGCUGGCGGCGUGCUUAACACAUGCCAGUCGAACGGAAAGGCCCCUUUGGGGGUACUCGAGUGGCGAACGGGUGAGUAACACGUGAGUAACCUGCCCUUGACUUCGGGAUAACUUCAGGAAACUGGGGCUAAUACCGGAUAGGAAUCCUUGCUGCAUGGUGGGGGUUGGAAAGCUUCGGCGGUUUUGGAUGGACUCGCGGCUUAUCAGCUUGUUGGUGGGGUAGUGGCUUACCAAGGCUUUGACGGGUAGCCGGCCUGAGAGGGCGACCGGCCACAGUGGGACUGAGAUACGGCCCAGACUCCUACGGGAGGCAGCAGUGGGGAAUAUUGCACAAUGGGCGGAAGCCUGAUGCAGCAACGCCGCGGGCGGGAUGACGGCCUUCGGGUUGUAAACCGCUUUCAGCAGGGGCGAAGCUUGUGGUGACGGUACCUGCAGAAGAAGCACCGGCUAACUACGUG